rnacentral:misc_RNA from 1 species
UCCGGCUUGUCACCGGCAGUUCUGCCAAAGUGCCCAACUUAAUGAUGGCAACUGGCAGCAAGGGUUGCGUUCGUUGCGGGACUUAACCCAACAUCUCACGACACGAACUGACGACAGCCAUGCAACACCUGUGUAAGAUCCAGCCGAACUGACAGGUACAUCUCUGUACCCUUUAAUCUCCAUGUCAAGAGCUGGUAAGGUUCUUCGCGUAGUUUCGAAUUAAACCACAUACUCCACCGCUUGUGCGGGUCCCCGUCAAUUCCUUUGAGUUUUAAUCUUGCGACCGUACUCCCCAGGCGGUGUGCUUAUCGCGUUAGCUCCAACACUGAGUAGCUAAACUACCCAACAUUUAGCACACAUCGUUUACGGCGUGGACUAC